AACGACUCUCGGCAACGGAUAUCUCGGCUCUCGCAUCGAUGAAGAACGUAGCGAAAUGCGAUACUUGGUGUGAAUUGCAGAAUCCCGUGAACCAUCGAGUCUUUGAACGCAAGUUGCGCCCGAAGCCAUCAGGCCGAGGGCACGUCUGGCUGGGUGUCACAAGAC
rnacentral:rRNA from 1 species